rnacentral:rRNA from 1 species
UACGUAGGUCCCGAGCGUUGUCCGGAUUUAUUGGGCGUAAAGCGAGCGCAGGUGGUUUAUUAAGUCUGGUGUAAAAGGCAGUGGCUCAACCAUUGUAUGCAUUGGAAACUAGUAGACUUGAGUGCAGGAGAAGAGAGUGGAAUUCCAUGUGUAGCGGUGAAAUACGUAGAUAUAUGGAGGAACACCGGUGGCGAAAGCGGCUCUCUGGCCUGUAACUGACACUGAGGCUCGAAAGCGUGGGGAGCAAACAGG